CCUACGGGUGGCUGCAGUGGGGAAUAUUGGACAAUGGGGGCAACCCUGAUCCAGCCAUGCCGCGUGUGUGAAGAAGGCCCUCGGGUUGUAAAGUACUUUCAGUGAGGAAGAACGCCUGGUGGUUAAUACCCAUCAGGAAAGACAUCACUCACAGAAGAAGCACCGGCUAACUCCGUGCCAGCAGCCGCGGUAAUACGGAGGGUGCGAGCGUUAAUCGGAAUUACUGGGCGUAAAGCGCGCGUAGGUGGCUUGAUAAGCCGGUUGUGAAAGCCCCGGGCUCAACCUGGGAACGGCAUCCGGAACUGUCAAGCUAGAGUGCAGGAGAGGAAGGUAGAAUUCCCGGUGUAGCGGUGAAAUGCGUAGAGAUCGGGAGGAAUACCAGUGGCGAAGGCGGCCUUCUGGACUGACACUGACACUGAGGUGCGAAAGCGUGGGUAGCAAACAGGAUUAGAUACCCUUGUAGUC
rnacentral:rRNA from 1 species